rnacentral:rRNA from 1 species
AGAGUUUUAUCCUGGCUCAGGAUGAACGCUAGCGGCAGGCUUAACACAUGCAAGUCGAGGGGCAGCGGGGAGGAAGCUUGCUUUCUCCGCCGGCGACCGGCGCACGGGUGAGUAACACGUAUGCAACCUGCCCCUGUCAGGGGGACAACCCGCCGAAAGGCGGGCUAAACCCGCGUACAUGCCACCGGGGCAUCCCGGAGGCAGGAAAGGCUUCGGCCGGACAGGGAUGGGCAUGCGGCGCAUUAGGCAGUAGGCGGGGUAACGGCCCACCUAACCGACGAUGCGUAGGGGUUCUGAGAGGAAGGUCCCCCACACUGGUACUGAGACACGGACCAGACUCCUACGGGAGGCAGCAGUGAGGAAUAUUGGUCAAUGGUCGGGAGACUGAACCAGCCAAGCCGCGUGAGGGAGGAAGGUACAGAGUAUCGUAAACCUCUUUUGUCAGGGAACAAAGGCGGGGACGUGUCCCCGGAUGAGUGUACCUGAAGAAAAAGCAUCGGCUAACUCCGUGCCAGCAGCCGCGGUAAUACGGAGGAUGCGAGCGUUAUCCGGAUUUAUUGGGUUUAAAGGGUGCGCAGGCGGUCUGUUAAGUCAGCGGUCAAAGCCCGGGGCUCAACCCCGGCCCGCCGUUGAAACUGGCAGUCUCGAGUUGGAGAGAAGUAUGCGGAAUGCGCGGUGUAGCGGUGAAAUGCAUAGAUAUCGCGCAGAACUCCGAUUGCGAAGGCAGCAUGCCGGCUCCACACUGACGCUGAGGCACGAAAGCGUGGGUAUCGAACAGGAUUAGAUACCCUGGUAGUCCACGCAGUAAACGAUGAAUGCUGGCUGUCCGGGGGGAUUGACCCCUGGGUGGCGAAGCGAAAGCGAUAAGCAUUUCACCUGGGGAGUACGCCGGCAACGGUGAAACUCAAAGGAAUUGACGGGGGCCCGCACAAGCGGAGGAACAUGUGGUUUAAUUCGAUGAUACGCGAGGAACCUUACCCGGGCUCAAACGGGGAGUGACUCAGGCAGAGACGCCUGUUUCCCACGGGACACUCCCCGAGGUGCUGCAUGGUUGUCGUCAGCUCGUGCCGUGAGGUGUCGGCUUAAGUGCCAUAACGAGCGCAACCCCCGCGUGCAGUUGCUAACAGAUAACGCUGAGGACUCUGCACGGACUGCCGGCGCAAGCCGCGAGGAAGGCGGGGAUGACGUCAAAUCAGCACGGCCCUUACGUCCGGGGCGACACACGUGUUACAAUGGGUGGUACAGCGGGAAGCCAGGCGGCGACGCCGAGCGGAACCCGAAAUCCACUCUCAGUUCGGAUCGGAGUCUGCAACCCGACUCCGUGAAGCUGGAUUCGCUAGUAAUCGCGCAUCAGCCAUGGCGCGGUGAAUACGUUCCCGGGCCUUGCACACACCGCCCGUCAAG